rnacentral:lncRNA from 1 species
CUUCCAGACACGCCUGAUUGUUCCAUAUGGGCACUUCCACUUCGCGGAGAGACGGACUAGAACUGCCUAGAAAUGCAGUCGUGCCCCAGCCUUCAAUGGACGCACACAAGAGAACCUGCGACGAAAGCUGUUCGAUCUUCCAGUGACGGCAGGGACGGAGGGGGCAGGCAGAUCCGCUGGAUGACGGGGGAGAAUUCAACCGGUCGAUUCAAUCGAACGAUGGCGAUGUCGUGCAGGUGAGAUCGUGGCUCGUACUGCUGGUGCACAGUUAUCUUCUCCACGUUGAAUAUGUUGUUGACUGUGCUGUUCUCCUCCAAUAAUGCUCGGGCAGAGUUGUUGUUACUGUUGUCUGGGAUCUGAGUCGCAGGCAACCUUCCUGCCAAGUCAAAUUCUCCCAGUCGGAUUUGUAACUUGCUCGGGUGAACCCUGUAGAAUGUUGGCAAAUGUCAUAGUCAAUCGUGGAAGCUGUGAAAUGAGGUACCUUACCCACUGACACAGUGUGCAGCAGUCAAGACAUGGCGGUCAGAGAUCAGGGCUCCAGCACAGUAUUGAUUUGCAUUGGAGCGAUAAAAAGCUGCAUGACAAAAAUGCAAUAUUAUCUGGGCUGCACUUUUUGUUCACAGUUUAUAGGCUUGAUUUAGACAUUUAUUACCAGCCAUCCAGGGCCACUUUCCUGGGUACGAUAUUUCACCACCAACGAUUCUCGUUUGAGUAUUUGCCCUAAUUCCACACCCGUCUGAACAAAAUGGAAAAAAAUUUCACAUUACAGAUGAGAAAAAGAGUUUAAAAUGUAAUAAAUACCUGGUUUUGCUACUGUUGAAUGUAUUGAAGUUAAAAUUAAACAAACAAGGGGUAUCAAUUCAGAUAAAACAAUCAAAGCCAUUUUUAAUCAAAUAAAACCACUGCGUUAAUUGUCAUUUGGUGUGGGAACGAUUAAAUGAGUUCUUCUAUUUUCUGCAGACGAGAAGACUCUGACCUUAGUGUUGGCAUGGCAACGUGACCUCGAAUGACCCACUUCUUUUCAUGGACAAGGGCAAUGGAAUCUCAGAAAAAAUCUUUUCAUAUUUAUAAAGAAAAAAUGUCCAUAUUGAUCGUUUCCAUUCUUCUGUAGAAAGAAAAUCGUUCAUAAUUUUUAACGGUGAAUCCGACCCUGAAUGAAGCUUUAAUCGUCAUCCAUCUUCUUUAUUGAUCUUUGGAAACAAUGCUCUGUGUUCUGUAUGGCGGCAAAUUUAUAAGGAAUAAGAAAAAACAGAAAUCUUCUCUUACGGCAAAAAUCAGAAACUAAUUUUGUUUGUAUCAAUCUUAACUCGUAAAUUGUGUGUAAAUUGUCAACUAAACUUUUUAAUCAGUAGAUAAUCAAGAACUAGGAAGUAGGAACUCAAGUAUACAUUUGAAUUUUAGCGGGUCGAGAUCUGACAUCCAGUUUAUAGGCAACGCCGCAGCCAAGCGCUUUAAUUAAAAAUUUAAUUUAAAAAAUUUUAAUCGUCACUUUUAAAAUCAGGAAUCAACGAAUUGUUUAAUCAAUUUUGUAAAAGAAAUCAAUUUUUUGUGCGUCUAAUGUUGCCUAAAAAUGCCAGUUGGCGCUUCCCCCAAAUUUCUCACAUUGGCAUUGUUAUUGUGAGGAAGAGCAGACAGCCGACAGGACAGGUUUCAUUCGAGAUUCGAGAAUUUACUUUUUGCUAUUCACUUUCGGCAAAAUUUCUUCAAUUUGUAAUUUUUUUAAAGUUAAAAUAUCUGGAAAUUGGGGGCAGUCGAUAUGUCUGGGUGCAUAACAUUAAAAUUUACAUCCUCUACAGGAUGCAAAGUUCUUGCAUAGAUAAGCAAUUGGGGCUCAAAGAAUUGAAACUGUACUUUUGACUAGCAGGAAAUCCUGACUUUUUUUAAGACUGAAUCAUGACCAACUUUAUCGUCAAAGCAUCUGAUUCUAAAAAUACCAAUAGAUAUCAAAGCUGUCAAAAUUCCAUUGCGGCUUAAUUGCUUUGUUAACUGAAAACAAGAACAAAAGCCAGAGAGUCUCCUAAUUCAGAUUCAAGUCUUCAAAACUGGUUGAAUUAGCACAAGUACCUCCAGUUGUAGCUUUCAGGAGGUUUGGAUUAUCACGAAUAAGCCAUGCAAGCCCACAGUCACAGGAGAAUGGAUCUGGUGGUGGUUCAAAGAAGACUGAUCCAGUGGAAUUAGCAAUGCCAGCCAUCUGUGUCAAAACUGGCUGGAAAACUGAGUAAUCAAAUGAUACCAGGUUGUUGUUGCUCAAAUCGAUUUCUGCAUAACUGUAAUCGCCUGUAGAAUUUGAUAAACUCAUGGAAUACCUUU